AUGAGCUCACAGUGACUGUGACAUCAUGUAUAACCUGUGCAAGCCCAAACCAGACCAUAUCCUACCAUGAACAGGGAAGUUGGGCACAAGCCCCCCCCCCCAAUAGCUGAGGUGCUAUUGGCAGUUUUUUAGUUGCUGGAUGAGAAAGGAAGUCUAUCCCUUAAUAGAUCAGCCACCAUCCAGUGGAAGACCACACACACAUCAAGGGAUAUUUGGGUAGCACAGUUGGUUUGGAAGAAAAAGGGAAAAUAUACACAAAGUUGGGUGUGAAGUGGGGAGAUCUGGCAAGAGCUGGGGAGGCCGGUGAAUAGGAUCAAGACAUAGAUAGCAGUGCUUAUCUAACAUUCCCUCUGUGAAGACUGUCUUCCCUGUCUUCACACUGGUAGCACCCACGAGUCUUCAUGGGUGUGACAGGGCAUCCCUGACUCCAGAGCUUUCUGCAUCCCUGCUACCUUCUUCCAGUUGACUGUCUCAUACCUGCAUGUUUCCUUGCUGAUGUUUUCCUUGAUGCUUCAGGACUGCUGUGACUUAUUCUCAUUGAAUUCCUCCUCGGCUAGACUCUAAGAUCGUCACACCAGGGUCACCUCGGGACCCCACAGCCCUGAGACCCGAUAACUGCUUAUUACACACUUGCUAAAGAAGCCAACACUGAUCAAGGGAAAUUGAGCUGAAUCUCAGAUGAGGACCAGGAGGCCCUCAGACAGCUGCGGGAGCAGAUUUGAAGACUGACUUCACAGGAAUGAGAAAGUAAAUGACCUAUUCAGAGAAGGGCAAACUUGCUGUGGGCAAAUAUCAUGGCUCUGACGGUACAGGUUGGGAGGUGAAGCUAAGCAGUGUUUGGGGUCUAGACUGAAAAAUCAUGAUGGCCAGACCACUUCUUAAACCCCUCCUGGGACCAAGACUGCCUCGCAUCUCCUGUCAUUGGCUAAGCAAAGGUCUAGACAGACAAAACCUGAUCACCAUGCUGUGUCUUAAUUGAAUAAGUAAUGAGAGCUGGGCACUGCAAUCAGCCUCCUUCUCCUUUGGCUGCUGCUGAAUACUCAUUAGCCAGUUGUGAACCCCAGAGAACAGAGGUCAUGUUGAGUGACAGCAACCCAGCAGCCUUCUUAGGCAUUUGCUGUAAUUUACAUGAAGAUACGGAUAUAAUUACCUUGAUCAGAUUCACUUCUCCUGGCAAAUGUGUACAUGGAGUCAAGUAAUUUCCUCCCAUUAAAUCAGAGCAUUUGGGGACUAUACUAGUUCUCAGCCAAGAGCUAGAUCCUGGAAGAAAGGCAAAAGGAGAAAGAGAAGAGUGCUCCCAGUGGGACCUUUGGGUGGCGGUGGUGAAAGAGGACCGUUUGGAGCCCAAACACCUAACAAUUCCUCCAAGUCUCUUGAAUUUACAGCAGGCUAAAGCAUGUGGCAUUCUCUGGCCAGCACAAAACCUCAGCCUUUUGCCAAAUGUUGUAUUCCUCGUGUGGUCUGGAUGACAUAAAGAAUGUCUACAAGGUGUUUUUCAAUCUGGGAGCAGGUACUUCGGAGAGGCUUCUGGUUUCGUGCAGACAGGAGCAGGAGAAUGCCCGUGUUCACGCUGAACCUCCACUUGGAGUUAGCCCGAGUGUGAAGCAGGACCCAUACAUUGUCACAGCUCUCACCACUCCUGCUUGGGAUUUAACUCAACUCAACUAUAUGACUCCCAGAAGAAAGCAGGCACACAGGGUGGGUCAUGUUACCUGUGAAAGUUCCAUGGAUGGUAGGCACGGUAAUCACAAGGGACUGGAGGCCAGAGUCCCUGAAGUCAGCAGUGUUUCCACAUGAAUAGGAGAAGGCGUCUGGAUGCUCACAGCAAACCCUGUCCUUCAGUCUGCUGAGCAGGUGUUUUCCUGGCCUCCAUCCUGGGCAACACCACUGCUUCCUGAAGGAGCCCUGGCAGAUGGAAUAGCUGAGCAGCAGGCACAGCGUCUGACCCAGCCACCCUGACUGCACCGUUAGGAGACUUGAAGGGAAGAACGAUUUGCCUGUUUGUAGAGCUGAAGAUUGAGUCUGAAGUCUGUGACCUACCCUGGCUUCCUAGGAGAUGAGUUUAGGUUUGGCCUGACAUGUUCUAAGCCCUACUUUGAUGAAUAUUUUACCACAUUUCAUCAAGUCAAAAAAUAAAUAAGAUUUCCCAAGAAGGCAAGUGAGAACCAGUCUCCACAGGAUACACUUCACCCCUGCCUGCCUCGUCUUUUAGUUUCAUCACCAACCUCCCAAGAAAGGCUGGGUAGCCUAUCACAAAUACUUUCCACUUCCAGGACCGCAGUGCUAACCGACAUCUGCUGCACAACAGAGCUGAUGCCUCUGGGGCUGCUCCAAGCAAGAACACUGAGUUGUACGACCUUAUUGUGACAGACCUUUCUCGGAGGCUGCAUCCAGCAGGCUUCAUCCCCAUGUGAGCAAAGUUGUCAAGUCACAGGUCCAAUAUGUCCACCUGGAGGACUUAGUAGCUGCCCACCUUGUGACUUAACAAACAACAUAACAGCUGCCAGUGGAUCGUAGAUGCAUCCAGAAAGAGAGGCCCAGAGAAGGCCAGAGGCUCAUUCAGAAUCGUGCAGCCACCUCCUGAAUCCGGACACAGUGCACCGUUCCCAGCCCCUGCCUGUGCCCCAGUGAUCUGCUCAGCUGUGGGCUUGCAAGACGUCAGAACCUGAACACAGACCUCAGAUCCCAGGAUCAGUCUGACAAAUAUCACAGGACUCGAUAUACUCAAAAGAGAGACAAAAAGGUCCCCUUCCUGGGUGCGCAAGGAUUUGAGAGAAUCACCCAGAAGGUGUUGCCUCCUGUUCCCGCUGCUUGCCCUCCUCCCAGAAGCACUUGCGCUUUGAGCAUCUCCCUGGGGCCCUUGCAUCUGAACCUCCAAUACCUUUGCAUCUUUCACCUUGCUCCCAUCUUUCUGCUGGGGGAGACGGACAGACCACCUGUCCGCGUGCCAGAGCGCGAACUGGACAGUCAUCCUUCACUCGUGCCUCUCCUCUCUGUGGCUGGUGGCCUUGUCUCUGGUUUCAUUAAGAUGCUUUAAAAAUCUGCAGCUCCAUCAUCCAUUGACACCCAAGCACUUGCUGAUGGGAGAGGUACAGCAAUUCACGUCAUAGAAGGAAAAGUUUUGCACAGAGAAGCAAGAGAGAACCAGAUCAACCAUGGACUCUGUUUCCCAAUGUCCACAAAACUGCUGUUCAUGUCAGAGGCACAGCUACAACCUAUAGAUCUUGCUUAGGCCUUGGGGAUAAAGAGAGAACCAUAGACCUGCUCAUUCCCAUCUGGGCCUUGGCUUCUAAGAAGAGACAAAUAAUAAGAGGUUUGGAUUGAGGGUGUAUCUCCGUGACAGAACAGGAGUGCAUGAGGCCUGGGGUUCAAUCCACAGCACCAAA